CCGUUGAAAAAUACUGGUUCUCGUAUGAUCAACGAAGUUAAGCAACAUUGAUCCUGGUCAAUACCUAAAUGGGUGACUGCUUGGGAAUACCAGGUGCC